UACAGAGGUCUCAAGCGUUGUUCGGAUUCAUUGGGCGUAAAGGGUGUGUAGGUGGCGCCGUAAGUCGGGUGUGAAAUUUCGGAGCUUAACUCCGAAACUGCAUUCGAUACUGCGGUGCUUGAGGACUGGAGAGGAGACUGGAAUUUACGGUGUAGCGGUGAAAUGCGUAGAUAUCGUAAGGAAGACCAGUGGCGAAGGCGGGUCUCUGGACAGUUCCUGACGCUGAGGCACGAAGGCCAGGGGGGCAAACGGG
rnacentral:rRNA from 1 species